UACGAAGGGGGCUAGCGUUGCUCGGAAUUACUGGGCGUAAAGCGCACGUAGGCGGAUCUUUAAGUCAGGGGUGAAAUCCUGGAGCUCAACUCCAGAACUGCCUUUGAUACUGAGGACCUUGAGUUCGGGAGAGGUGAGUGGAACUGCGAGUGUAGAGGUGAAAUUCGUAGAUAUUCGAAGAACACCAGUGGCGAAGGCGGCUCACUGGCCCGGUACUGACGCUGAGGUGCGAAAGCGUGGGGAGCAAACAGG
rnacentral:rRNA from 1 species